GUGCUUACCAUGCAGUCGAACGAUGAAGCCCAGCUUGCUGGGCGGAUUAGUGGCGAACGGGUGAGUAACACGUGAGUAACCUGCCCUUGACUCUGGGAUAAGCCUGGGAAACUGGGUCUAAUACCGGAUAGGAACGCCUAUCGCAUGAUGGGUGUUGGAAAGAUUUUUCGGUCAUGGAUGGACUCGCGGCCUAUCAGCUUGUUGGUGAGGUAAUGGCUCACCAAGGCGACGACGGGUAGCCGGCCUGAGAGGGUGACCGGCCACACUGGGACUGAGACACGGCCCAGACUCCUACGGGAGGCAGCAGUGGGGAAUAUUGCACAAUGGGCGAAAGCCUGAUGCAGCGACGCCGCGUGAGGGAUGACGGCCUUCGGGUUGUAAACCUCUUUCAGUAGGGAAGAAGCGAAAGUGACGGUACCUGCAGAAGAAGCACCGGCUAACUACGUGCCAGCAGCCGCGGUAAUACGUAGGGUGCGAGCGUUAUCCGGAAUUAUUGGGCGUAAAGAGCUCGUAGGCGGUUUGUCACGUCUGUCGUGAAAGUCCGGGGCUUAACCCCGGAUCUGCGGUGGGUACGGGCAGACUAGAGUGCAGUAGGGGAGACUGGAAUUCCUGGUGUAGCGGUGGAAUGCGCAGAUAUCAGGAGGAACACCGAUGGCGAAGGCAGGUCUCUGGGCUGUAACUGACGCUGAGGAGCGAAAGCAUGGGGAGCGAACAGGAUUAGAUACCCUGGUAGUCCAUGCCGUAAACGUUGGGCACUAGGUGUGGGGACCAUUCCACGGUUUCCGCGCCGCAGCUAACGCAUUAAGUGCCCCGCCUGGGGAGUACGGCCGCAAGGCUAAAACUCAAAGGAAUUGACGGGGGCCCGCACAAGCGGCGGAGCAUGCGGAUUAUUCGAUGCACGCGAAGAACCUUACCAGGCUUGACAUGUUUUCGAUCGCCGUGGAGACACGGUUUCCCCUUUGGGCGGAUYCACAGGUGGUGCAUGGUUGUCGUCAGCUCGUGUCGUGAGAUGUUGGGUUAAGUCCCGCAACGAGCGCAACCCUCGUUCCAUGUUGCCAGCACGUCGUGGUGGGGACUCAUGGGAGACUGCCGGGGUCAACUCGGAGGAAGGUGAGGACGACGUCAAAUCAUCAUGCCCCUUAUGUCUUGGGCUUCACGCAUGCUACAAUGGCCGGUACAAUGGGUUGCGAUACUGUGAGGUGGAGCUAAUCCCAAAAAGCCGGUCUCAGUUCGGAUUGGGGUCUGCAACUCGACCCCAUGAAGUCGGAGUCGCUAGUAAUCGCAGAUCAGCAACGCUGCGGUGAAUACGUUCCCGGGCCUUGUACACACCGCCCGUCAAGUCACGAAAGUCGGUAACACCCGAAGCCGGUGGCCUAAC
rnacentral:rRNA from 1 species